UACGGGGGGGGCAAGCGUUGUGCGGAAUUACUGGGCGUAAAGGGCUCGUAGGCGGCCAACUAAGUCGGAUGUGAAAUCCCCAGGCUUAACCUGGGAACUGCAUCCGAUACUGGAUGGCUUGAAUCCGGGAGAGGGAUGCAGAAUUCCAGGUGUAGCGGUGAAAUGCGUAGAUAUCAGGAGGAACACCGAUGGCGAAGGCAGGUCUCUGGGCUGACACUGACGCUCAUGCACGAAAGCGUGGGGAGCAAACAGG
rnacentral:rRNA from 1 species